UACGGAGGGUGCGAGCGUUGUCCGGAAUCACUGGGCGUAAAGGGCGCGUAGGCGGUGGCUUAAGCGUGUGGUGAAAGUCCGGGGCUCAACCCCGGAUCGGCCGUGCGAACUGGGUCACUUGAGCACUGUAGAGGCAGGUGGAAUUCCGGGUGUAGCGGUGGAAUGCGUAGAGAUCGGGAAGAACAUCGGUGGCGAAGGCGGCCUGCUGGGCUGUUGCUGACGCUGAGGCGCGACAGCGUGGGGAGCAAACAGG
rnacentral:rRNA from 1 species